UGCGUGAAAAAUCCGCACAUAUAUCGACACAUUACUCUGGGUGCUCUUUUGAGUGGAGAAUGCGGAUAUAUGGAGGCUUAAC
rnacentral:sRNA from 1 species